GACGAACGCUGGCGGCGUGCUUAACACAUGCAAGUCGAACGGAAAGGCCCUGCUUUUGUGGGGUGCUCGAGUGGCGAACGGGUGAGUAACACGUGAGUAACCUGCCCUUGACUUUGGGAUAACUUCAGGAAACUGGGGCUAAUACCGGAUAGGAGCUCCUGCUGCAUGGUGGGGGUUGGAAAGUUUCGGCGGUUGGGGAUGGACUCGCGGCUUAUCAGCUUGUUGGUGGGGUAGUGGCUUACCAAGGCUUUGGCGGGUAGCCGGCCUGGGAGGGUGACCGGCCACAUUGGGACUGAGAGACGGCCCAGACUCCUACGGGAGACAGCAGUGGGGAAUAUUGCACAAUGGGCGGAAGCCUGAUGCAGCAACGCCGCGUGCGGGAUGACGGCCUUCGGGUUGUAAACCGCUUUCGCCUGUGACGAAGCGUGAGUGACGGUAAUGGGUAAAGAAGCACCGGCUAACUACGUG
rnacentral:rRNA from 1 species